rnacentral:rRNA from 1 species
CCUACGGGAGGCAGCAGUGAGGAAUAUUGGUCAAUGGACGCAAGUCUGAACCAGCCAUGCCGCGUGCAGGAUGACGGCUCUCUGAGUUGUAAACUGCUUUUGUACGAGGGUAAACCCCGAUACGUGUAUCGGGUUGACAGUAUCGUACGAAUAAGGAUCGGCUAACUACGUGCCAGCAGCCGCGGUAAUACGGAGGAUCCGAGCGUUAUCCGGAUUUCUUGGGUUUAAAGGGUGCGUAGGCGGUUUGAUAAGUUAGAGGUGAAAGGUCGGGGCUCAACCCCGAAACUGCCGCUAAUACUGUUGGACUAGAGAAUAGUUGCGGUAGGCGGAAUGUAGGGUGUAGCGGUGAAAUGCUUAGAGAUCAUACAGAACACCGAUUGCGAAGGCAGCUUACCAAACUAUAUCUGACGUUGAGGCACGAAAGCGUGGGUAGCAAACAGGAUUAGAUACCCCUGUAGUC